rnacentral:rRNA from 1 species
UCGGGAAUUUUGGGCAAUGGGCGAAAGCCUGACCCAGCAACGCCGCGUGAAGGAUGAAGUAUUUCGGUAUGUAAACUUCGAAAGAAUAGGAAGAAUAAAUGACGGUACUAUUUAUAAGGUCCGGCUAACUACGUGCCAGCAGCCGCGGUAAUACGUAGGGACCAAGCGUUGUUCGGAUUUACUGGGCGUAAAGGGCGCGUAGGCGGCAAUUCAAGUCAUCUGUGAAAUCUCCGGGCUUAACUCGGAACGGUCAGAUGAUACUGCUUUGCUAGAGUGCAGAAGGGGCAAUCGGAAUUCUUGGUGUAGCGGUGAAAUGCGUAGAUAUCAAGAGGAACACCUGAGGUGAAGACGGGUUGCUGGG